rnacentral:rRNA from 1 species
GUGGGGAAUAUUGGACAAUGGGGGAAACCCUGAUCUAGCCAUGCCGCGUGAGCGAUGAAGGCCUUAGGGUUGUAAAGCUCUUUCUGCUGGGAAGAUAAUGACGGUACCAGCAGAAGAAGCCCCGGCUAACUCCGUGCCAGCAGCCGCGGUAAUACGGAGGGGGCUAGCGUUGUUCGGAAUUACUGGGCGUAAAGCGCACGUAGGCGGAUCAGAAAGUCAGAGGUGAAAUCCCAGGGCUCAACCUUGGAACUGCCUUUGAAACUCCUGGUCUUGAGGUCGAGAGAGGUGAGUGGAAUUCCGAGUGUAGAGGUGAAAUUCGUAGAUAUUCGGAGGAACACCAGUGGCGAAGGCGGCUCACUGGCUCGAUACUGACGCUGAGGUGCGAAAGCGUGGGGAGCAAACAGGAUUAGAAACCCGGGUAGUCC